UCGACGAAGGUAUCUCGAAACAGCUUCUCCAUAUGCAUCAACCACUUCUCGACAAUCCAGUGGUCGACGUUCUCGCCAUCGAACGUCCUCGGGCUGCACCUCCUAAACUCACUGAGGCGCUCCAUAAGCCGAUCCCGCUCGGCUCCCUCAGCCAUCACGGGGAAUGUUGCCCCCGUCGCUGGUCUCUGAACUGGUAGUGCUGCAGCCACCUCCUCCCGAGGUGCGAUCGCCGGUGCCGCACGUGAGGAACUGGGCGCAGGGGACUACGCCCUCGGUGCGACGUCCACCACGGGUGCUGGCGGUGUGGGACCCUCAGUCUCCCUCGAAGCUGCCGCCUGCUGAAGUAAGAGGUCCUCGAGAUGCUUCAUCCGCGCCUCCUGCAGCUGAGCCAUCUCAGCCUGUCGCUGCGCCGCCGCCGUCUGCUGCGCCAACAAAUCAGUGAGAAUCGCAAGCUGGGCCCUCAGGUCACGGACCUCACUAGAUCCGGAAGUAGCGGAGGUCUCGACCUCCUCGGGGUGUGCCGCAUCAUCCGCCCCGGCAGACUGGGAGCGUGUAAUCGGCAUCGCCACUACAAGACAUAAAAGCGCAAGUUAGUAACCCACGCUAUCGCGUCCCCACUCAAAUAGAUAAAACCCCAAAUCAUGCGAAAGUAAGGAAGUGUCUUUCACUACUAACUCCCGAUGUUACGUUGUCGGCCGCCAACGUAACCCUCCGCGAAGUUAGAAGCCAUACACUCCGAUCAAACUCUAACUUUUUAGAGUUGUCAUAA
rnacentral:lncRNA from 1 species